GACGAACGCUGGCGGCGUGCCUAAUACAUGCAAGUCGAACGCAGUGGGGACGGGUGAGUAACACGUGGGUAACCUCCCAUCAUUGGGGAUAACACUUGGAAACAGGUGCUAAACCUCUACUGAUGGAUGGACCCGCGGUGCAUUAGCUAGUUGGUGAGGGAACGGCUCACCAAGGCCACGAUGCAUACCCGAGCUGGGGGGGUGAGUGGCCAAACUGGGACUGAGAAACGGCCCAGACUCCUACGGGAGGCAGCAGUAGGGAAUCUUCGGAAAUGGACGAAAGUCUGACCGAGCAACGGCGCGGGAGUGAAGAAGGUUUUCGGAGCGUAAAACUCUGUUGGUAGAGAAGAGGUAUCUAACCAGAAAGCCAAGGCUAACUAAGUGCCAGCAGCCGCGGUAAUAC
rnacentral:rRNA from 1 species